rnacentral:lncRNA from 1 species
CUGAGCUUCUUCCUGGAACUUUUUGAAACAACUGGAACUCAAGGUGCAACAGUUACAAAUAGUGGAACAUUGGAGAAAACUGAGACCUCAGAAAAACUAUCCGCUGAGAUGAAUAUUGACCCAUUGAACCUGAAGCUUACAUUAAAGAUGGGAAACAUGCUUUCCUGAUAUAAGAAAACAAUGGAGGAAACACCCAGAGCCUCAAAGUUGCUUCAUUAUCAUUGCCUUUCACAAGAACUGUAGGAAAGUUGAUCAAAACGUCCUCAAAGCACUUGCCCAUUUGUCUUUGUUGACAUGCUCAAAAUGGCGUGCAUUUUGACUGCCUCAACUCACAUGUUUGCAGAAUUAUUCACUGUAUCUAGAUAUUAAUGAAGGCUUUCUUGCCAAAGCUUUGGAAAGAAGAAGGAGUUUCGCCCUGUCACCCAGGCUGGAGCGCCGUGACGCAAUCUCGGCUCUCUGCAAGCUCCGCUUCCCGGAUUCACACCAUUCUCCUGCCUCAGCCUCCCGAGUAGCUGGGACUACAGGCACCCACCACCAUGCCAUGCCUGGCUAAUUUUUUGUGUGUGUUUUUAGUAGAGACGGGUUUCAUCAUGUUAGCCAGGAUGGUCUCGAACUCCUGACCUCCUGAUCUGCCCGCCUCGGCCUCCAAAAGUGCAGGGAUUACAGGCGUGAGCCACCACGCCUGGUCGUUUUUCACUUAAUUUUUAACAGCAGUUUUAAGUUCACAGAAAAACUGAGCAGCAAGUACAGAGAUACUGCCUCUAUCCCUUGCCCCUCCAUCAGCAUAGCCCCCUUCAUAUCAACAUCCCCAACCAGAGAGGCACAUUUGUUGCAAUUUAGAACCUACAUUGACCAUCAUUAUCACUAAGUCUACAAUUUACAUUGGGGUCACUCUUGGUAUUGUAUAUUCCAUAGGCUUGGAAAAAAUACAUAAUGACAUAUAUCUACCAUUAUACUAUCCUAUUAUACUAUUCCACUGCCCUAAAAAUCCUCUGUCCUUCACCUAUACAGCCGUCUCAUCCCCCUAAACCCUGGAAACCACCGAUCUUUUUACUGUCCCCAUAGUUUCACCUUUUCCUGAAUGUCAUAUAGUUGGGAUCAUACAGUAUGUGGCCCUUUCAGAUUAGCUUCUUUCACUUAGGAAAAUGCAGUUACAUUUCUUCCAUGUGUUAUUGUGGCUUGAUAGCUUAUUUCUUUUUAGCACUUAAUAAUAUUUCAUGGCCUGGAUAGACCACAUUCUAUUUAUCCAUUCACCUCUGAAGGACAUUUUUGUUGCUUUCAAGUUUUGACAAUUAUGAAUAAAGUUGCUGUAAACACUCAUGUGCAGGUUUUUAUGUGGACGUAAGUUUUCAACUCCUCUGGGUAAAUCUCAAGGAGUAUAAUUGCUAUGUCAUUU